AAAACCCACGACCCCCUAAACGCCCAAAAGGACAAAACCAAGUACACCCGUCUAAGCACUCAGUACAAUCCAACAAAUUUUUUCAAAAUUAAAAGCUUUAUAAUACACUAAACAUAACAAAAAAGCGCAAAAGCAGUACCUGAAAAUGCUAGAUUCGAUCUGCAAGUGAGUACCCAACGUUCAUUUCACAGUGAUACACAAAAAGGCUGAAGUUUGAGCUGUAAAGUUUAAGUUAGAGUAACAAAAAGAAAAAGCUAAGCCUUUUCUAUGACAGAGUGUGGAUUUUGGCUGCUGUGUAUAAAAUAAAAUCUUCCAUUUCACAGUGAUACACAAAAAGGUUGAAGUUUGAGCUGUAAAGUUGAAGUUAGAGUAACACAAAGAAAAAGCUAAGCCUUUGCUAUGACAGAGUGUGGAUU
rnacentral:lncRNA from 1 species